UGAAAACAUGCAGUCGAAAAUUGUGUAGUUGUGGUUUUAAUCAAUAUUUUAUACUGAACCAGAAAACGUCUGAAAACCUAUUCAGGCCUAUUCAAUAUGGAAAAUCUUGUAUACAAAUGCUGUUAGCUCGUGAGGAAUACGAUUGCCUUGUUGUUGACUAUGAUGGGCCUGUACUCUGUCCUUGUCCUUUGAGCUUUCGGCUUUGGUCAAAAUUCACAAAAUCUAUAACAAUUUACAUGCUAUAGAGUAUAGACCAAGUGUUCCAGCUUUCGAAUUUCAAGAAACAAGAUGGAUUUAUAAGGUGAGUAAGAUUUAAGCAAAGUUUCUCAUUAAUUUUAGCUUCUCGUUUCAUGUUGACAUAUUAAUCUGUUCUGGCUGCAUUGCUUGAUUCUUAAAUCGGACAUGUGAAGCUAUGUGGGUAGACAUGCUGUGUGUACAAAUUACAUGCACACUGUAGGCGUAUAUACAAUGAGAAGAUUUACUUCGCUAUUUACAGUGCUAAGACGAUAAACGUAACGUUUCGCUGUAUUUAAUAUAGUGUAAGUAAUUUCGCCUUG